ACUCAGCUGACGAGUUUCAAAUAGGACGAAACGCCCUUCCUGGAU
rnacentral:hammerhead_ribozyme from 1 species